rnacentral:tRNA from 1 species
GCGCGUGUAGCCCAACUGGCAGAGGCGGCUGACUUAAGAUCAGCACAGUGACGAGUUCAAAUCUCUCCACGCGCA